UAGUAUGUGUGAGUUUAUGUAGUAUGUGUGUGCUGGAGUGUCAGUGUAGUAUGUGUGAGUUUAUGUAGUAUGUGUGUGUUGGAGUGUCAGUGUAGUAUGUGUGUGUUUAUGUAGUAUGUGUGAGUUUAUGUAGUAUGUGUGUGUUGGAGUGUCAGUGUAGUAUGUGUGAGUUUAUGUAGUAUGUGUGUGUUGGAAUGUCAGUGUAGUAUGUGUGAGUUUAUGUAGUAUGUGUGUGUUGGAAUGUCAGUGUAGUAUGUGUGAGUUUAUGUAGUAUGUGUGAGUUUAUGUAGUAUGUGUGAGUUUAUGUAGUAUGUGUGUGUUUAUGUAGUAUGUGUGAGUUUAUGUAGUAUGUGUGUGUUGGAGUGUCAGUGUAGUAUGUGUGAGUUUAUGUGUUAUGUGUGAGUUUAUGUAGUAUGUGUGAGUUUAUGUAGUAUGUGUGAGUUUAUGUAGUAUGUGUGAGUUUAUGUAGUAUGUGUGUGUUGGAGUGUCAGUGUAGUAUGUGUGAGUUUAUGUAGUAUGUGUGAGUUUAUGUAGUAUGUGUGAGUUUAUGUAGUAUGUGUGUGAGUUUAUGUAGUAUGUGUGAGUUUAUGUAGUAUGUGUGAGUUUAUGUAGUAUGUGUGAGUUUAUGUAGUAUGUGUGAGUUUAUGUAGUAUGUGUGAGUUUAUGUAGUAUGUGUGUGUUUAUGUAGUAUGUGUGAGUUUAUGUAGUAUGUGUGUGCUGGAGUGUCAGUGUAGUAUGUGUGAGUUUAUGUAGUAUGUGUGAGUUUAUGUAGUAUGUGUGUGCUGGAGUGUUAGUGUAGUAUGUGUGAGUUUAUGUAGUAUGUGUGUGUUUAUGUAGUAUGUGUGAGUUUAUGUAGUAUGUGUGAGUUUAUGUAGUAUGUGUGAGUUUAUGUAGUAUGUGUGUGUUGGAAUGUCAGUGUAGUAUGUGUGAGUUUAUGUAGUAUGUGUGAGUUUAUGUAGUAUGUGUGUGUUGGAGUGUCAGUGUAGUAUGUGUGAGUUUAUGUAGUAUGUGUGAGUUUAUGUAGUAUGUGUGAGUUUAUGUAGUAUGUGUGAGUUUAUGUAGUAUGUGUGUGCUGGAGUGUCAGUGUAGUAUGUGUGAGUUUAUGUAGUAUGUGUGUGCUGGAGUGUCAGUGUAGUAUGUGUGAGUUUAUGUAGUAUGU